rnacentral:rRNA from 1 species
AACGAACGCUGGCGGCGUGGUUAAGACAUGCAAGUCGAACGGGAUACUUUGGUAGCAAUAUCUGAGUAUUCAGCGGCGAACGGGUGCGUAACACGUGGGUACCUUCCGGAAAGUGAGAAAUAGCCCAGGGAAACUUGGAUUAAUAUCUCAUGUGAUCGCAAGAUCAAAGGCGCAAGCCGCUUUCCGAUGGGCCUGCGGCC